CUGUCUUGAUGAUGUCAUGUAGUAGAACGGAUAGUAAGAAGCACAUUAGUUGAGGACUAACUGUAUGAAGCAAAAUCAAUGUUUUUACGCCUAAAACACUAGAGAGAGAGAGAGAGAGGGGCAUUUAGAAGCAAUAAUGUACCUAAAUAAACAAUCGACUGAGGAUAACUGUAAUGCACUUAAUAAACUAUAGACUGAUAAUCAACUGAUAUUUUAGAAGUUAAGAUAGAGUUUCCAAACAGAUUGAGGAUAAACGGUAUAUUGCAUCUGUAAUUCAUCAUUUAAUUAUCGGUGCUUUUAGCUAGUGAUAGUCUGAUAGAUUAUGAUAUCAAGAAAUGCAGGAGAACGAGCAAUAAGAC
rnacentral:lncRNA from 1 species